CCAGCCCAACCCCCAUUCGGCGGCUACAUCGCCGCACUCCAACGCCCAGCACACCGCCCCUUCAGCGCCCAGCGCGGCCGCCACCUGAAACCCCCCAUCCCACCUCCACCCCGUAUCGAUCUGCCGCUUCCUCGACGUGGCUCCGUGCCGCUUCCUCGAUCUGCCUCGCCGCCAGUUCCUCGAUCUGCCUCGCCGCCGUUUGGAUCGUUGCGGCGACGGCUUUGUCGGUCUUCAGCUCCGGCACCUACAUCUUAAAGGAGCACGAUCUCGUCGCUGGUUUCAUCGGUUCUGGGACCCAAAUUGCUGAGGGGACUUCCACAACUUGUAUUGCUUGAUUUCCCUGUCUGAGACUACAAUCUUGUCCUAGGUGAGGGAAACGAGGGAUCUUACGGGCGAAUCUUUUCCAAGACUGAACCAGCAGGGGACUAGAACUGAACAGCCACACCCAGCUCGCUCAAAAAAAGGUGCACUUCUUCCAUCGAGAUUCGAGAGAAGGAUAAUUGAUUUGCAGCGGAAUUCUUGGAUCAAGAAGCAAAUAAAAUUUGAAGAUUUUAGCUACCAAUAGUCGUAGUUUACAUACAUAGAUUGAAAAAUGUAAUAUCAUCAAGAAGGAUCUUUUUCUUUUGUCGAAUUGAUGCAAAUGCUAUGUUGUAAUAUUCUCCAUAGUUGUGUUCUCUACGCUCAAAAUGAUAUGAAUGAUAUCUUUACUGUAAUGCAUACGUAUCAUAUGCUCUUGUAUAUUCGUAAUAAAUAGCUUCAUAUUUUGAAUUUCUA